GGAGAAGGGCCCAAGUUCAGUGGUCAGGGAUCUGUCUUACAUGCAGAAGGUCCAAGGUUCAAUCCCAAGCAUCUCCA